AAAAAAAAGAAAAAAAUCAAAGCUCCCCUGUUCUUGGCCACCCGCCACCCGCCGCCACCUCCUCCCGCCCCGCCCCCAUCAGCUCUGCCUUCUUGCUCGCCUUCAAAAUCCUAAUCGAACACAUUCUUCGUUCCCCCCGAUCAAUUGGUCGCAUUUUUUUAUUAUAAUAUAGAAAUGAACAGGUAAAGGCUCGAUUUUCACAAUGAGAAUCCGUUUGGAACCGGGGCAUGAUUCAGGAGGUGAAGGGGACCUGGAGAAGGGGCUGGCGCAGCCCUCGACCCCAGGAGCUCUGUCGGAGCCGCCGUCGUCGCCGCACCCGUCGAGGCCGGCCCUGGUGUUCUCCAAUUCCAGCAAGGCCCUACUGGUUUCAAAUUCCGGCAAGGCAUUGCUGGUUUCAAAUUCCGGCAAGGCAUUGCUGGUUUCAAAUUCCGGCAAGUCUCUGGUCGUGUCGAAUUCCGGGAAGCCCCUUGAUCAGUUGGGGAGGAAGAAGUAUGUGAAGCAGGUGACCGGGCGCAACAAUGACACGGAGCUUCACCUGGCUGCGCGCCGCGGGGAUUUGGCAGCGCUGCAGCAGAUUCUAGCGGAGAUUGACGCUCAGAUGGUGGGAUCCGAGUUUGAUGAAGAGGUGGCGGAGAUUAGGUCUGCCAUUGUGAAUGAGGUGAAUGAGUUGGGAGAGACGGCGCUUUUCAUAGCGGCGGAGCAGGGGCAUCUUGCUAUGGUGGAGGAGCUUUUGCCUUACAUGACGGAGGAGGGCAUUUUGUUGAAGAAUCAAAUUGGGUUUGAUGCAUUGCAUAUUGCUGCAAAUCAAGGGCACCAAGCCAUUGUCCAGGUGCUCUUAGACCAUGACCCGGGGCUUAGCAAAACAGUUGGGCAGGCAAAUGCGACCCCUCUUGUGUCUGCAGCUACAAGAGGGCAUACAGCAGUAGUUAAAGAAUUACUAUCCAAAGAUUCAAGUUUGCUGGAAUUAGCGAAAUCCAAUGGGAAGAAUGCAUUGCAUCUUGCUGCACGGCAGGGGCAUGUAGAAAUUGUGAAAACUUUGCUUGGAAGGGAUCCACAACUAGCAAGAAGAACUGAUAAGAAAGGACAAACUGCUUUGCAUAUGGCAGUAAAAGGUGUUAGCAGUGAAGUUGUGAGGUUGAUUGUCGAUGCGGAUCCAGCUAUUGUCAUGCUUCCAGACAAGUUCGGCAAUUCAGCAUUGCAUGUGGCCACCAGGAAAAAGCGAGUAGAUAUAGUCAAUGUGCUAUUGCUCGUUCAUGACACAAAUGUGAAUGUUCUAACAAGAGACCAGAAAACACCCCUUGAUAUAGCCGAAGGACUUCCAUACUCUGAAGAAAUCACAACAAUUAAGGAAACCUUGACUCAAUAUGGUGCUGUCCGAGCAAAUGAACUUAACCAGCCACGGGAUGAACUUAGAAACACCGUGACAGAGAUUAAAAAAAAUGUCCAUAAUCAGCUUGAACAAGCCCGCAAAACCAACCAGAGUGUAACUGGAAUUGCCACAGAGCUCCGGAAGCUACAGAGGGAAGGAAUCAAUAAUGCCACUAACUCAGUCACAGUGGUUGCUUCACUCUUUGCAACAGUAGCUUUUGCAGCUCUAUUUACACUUCCUGGUGGUGAUCUUGACUCCGGGGCAGCUGUUAUGUCAAUCCAAGUGUCAUUUAAAAUUUUCAUCCUUUUCAAUGCUGUUUCACUGUUCGCAUCAUUGGCUGUUGUUUUGGUACAAAUCACCCUCGUCAGGGGGGAGACAAAGGCGGAGAGGAGGGUUGUGGAAGUGAUCAAUAAGUUGAUGUGGCUUGCCUCUGUCUGCACCACAGUAGCAUUUAUUUCUUCAUCAUAUAUAGUGGUUGGGCGGCAUAAUGUGUGGGCUGCAAUCCUUGUCACAGUUAUAGGGGGACUUAUAAUGGGGGGAGUUAUUGGUACCAUGACAUAUUAUGUGGUGAAGACCAAAAGGAUUCGUAGAGUGAGGAAGAGGGAGAAGAUGUCGAGGAUUGGAACCAACCAUUCCGUGCAUCACUCAGAGUCCGAUUCAGAAGUGAACCGUGUUUAUGCCCUGUGAUCAUAGUCUGGCUGGAACUAGCCUCUGGUUCUAUGCCACAUGGAGAAGAAAAUCAACGCAGGAUUAGCUGAUUCCAAAAAGGUUCUAAGCUAUAGAUACAAAAUUCAGGGACCUUGUAAUAGCAUCUGUGAAUUGACUAGUUUGAAAGUGAUUUUCUGGGUGUCUCAAGGAUUAAGAAAAUUUUCAGCAAAACUGUUGAUGUCCUUGAAUCUUCAAAGGCAGCAAGUGAGAAAUAUCAUCUGUAUAUUAUAUGGCAUAUACAUGGUACCAGUCCAUUUGUAACUUGUAUAGGUUUUUGUCAGUGGUGAGUUGCUAUUCGCAUUCUAGCAAUAGGUAGUGACUGAUUAGUUGCUCAAAACUUUGAACGUCACUUUACUUGACAUUAAUGUCUGAUAACUGUCAAUGUAUCUGAUAUGUGAAUAAAACCUGAAGCAUUAUAUGUGCAUAGAAUCAGAUGGUUGAGAAAAGAAUGUAUUAGGUCGAUGUUGCUUGAACUUAUGUAUAAACAGAGUUUGCUGUGGAUGCCUACGGUACAGGUUUCCGUUUCUACUUUUCCCUCAUCCCAUGUUUUUUCCACUCUAAAUUGAAAAGUUGCUAUAUUGUAUUGGGGACUUUGCUUCUACUACUGAUGAGGGAUUGCUUAUGAAUGCCGUGACUGUUGAAGUUAUUGUCCAUGCAGAUGAGAGAAGCAGUGCUCCAAUUAGAGGAUUCGAGAUUUUGACAAUGUUUCUGCAGAAGGAUAAAAAAAAACGUUUGCUUCAGUGUAAUAAAUCUGGCGGAUGACGAUCCCAUCGCACGACUGACCUCUUUUCAUACACUGGAAGACUUCGACAUCCUUGACUUGUUCGUUAGCCGAAGCUGGUAGCCAAGGGCCAAGGCAUGCUUUCUUCCUCUAAUUGACGUCUCUAUCAUCGUCAAUGCGCGUUAGGACUGCGCGUAGGGAUGACCCCAUUUGAUUAAACACUUGUUUAGGUUGGGAUGUAUCUCAGUGAACAAAAAAACAAUGCAGAUAUUCUGACGUCGAUGUCAAGCAAUCCACUUCAUGGAACAGAUAAUCCAUUAUAUUACGUAUAUUUAUUCGUCCGCUAAUAAAGAUUGUGAUUGGUUGGGAUAA